GACGAACGCUGGCGGCGUGCCUAACACAUGCAAGUCGAACGAGGUCCAUGCAGUGGCAACACUGCGGAAGACCUAGUGGCGAACGGGUGAGUAACACGUGAGGAACCUGCCCCCGAAGACCGGGAUAACCCUCCGAAAGGAGAGCUAAUACCGGAUACCCCCACUUGAUCGCAUGAUCGGGUGAGGAAAUGGAUUCCGCUUCGGGAGGGCCUCGCGGCCUAUCAGCUUGUUGGUGGGGUAACGGCCCACCAAGGCAUCGACGGGUAGCUGGUCUGAGAGGACGAUCAGCCACACUGGGACUGAGACACGGCCCAGACUCCUAC
rnacentral:rRNA from 1 species